rfam:Triticum urartu cultivar G1812 contig238339, whole genome shotgun sequence.
AUCAUAAUCCCUCCGUCCCAAAUUACUUGUCGCAGAAAUGGAUGUAUCUAGAACUAAAAAUACGUCUAGAUACAUCCAUUUCUAUGACAAGUAAUUCAGGACGGAGGGAGUACAUG